GACGAACGCUGGCGGCGUGCUUAACACAUGCAAGUCGAACGGAAAGGCCCUGCUUUUGUGGGGUGCUCGAGUGGCGAACGGGUGAGUAACACGUGAGUAACCUGCCCUUGACUUUGGGAUAACUUCAGGAAACUGGGGCUAAUACCGGAUAGGAGCUCCUGCUGCAUGGUGGGGGUUGGAAAGUUUCGGCGGUUGGGGAUGGACUCGCGGCUUAUCAGCUUGUUGGUGGGGUAGUGGCUUACCAAGGCUUUGACGGGUAGCCGGCCUGAGAGGGUGACCGGCCACAUGGGGACUGGGAUACGGCCCAGACUCCUACGGGAGGCAGCAGUGGGGAAUAUUGCACAAUGGGCGGAAGCCUGAUGCAGCAACGCCGGGUGCGGGAUGACGGCCUUCGGGUUGUAAACCGCUUUCGCCUGUGACGAAGCGUGAGGGACGGGAAUGGGUAAAGAAGCACCGGCUAACUACGG
rnacentral:rRNA from 1 species